CAGCCGCCACGGGAAUACGUAGGGUGCGAGCGUUAAUCGGAAUUACUGGGCGUAAAGCGUGCGCAGGCGGUUCGUUAAGACAGAUGUGAAAUCCCCGGGCUUAACCUGGGAACUGCAUUUGUGACUGACGGGCUAGAGUAUGGCAGAGGGGGGUAGAAUUCCACGUGUAGCAGUGAAAUGCGUAGAGAUGUGGAGGAAUACCGAUGGCGAAGGCAGCCCCCUGGGCCAAUACUGACGCUCAUGCACGAAAGCGUGGGGAGCAAACAGGAUUAGAUACCCGCGUAGUCCCUGUCUCUUAUAA
rnacentral:rRNA from 1 species